GGAAGUGGGAUGACGUCAAGUCCUCAUGGCCUUUAUGCCCAGGGCUACACACGUGCUACAAUGGGUGGUACAAAGAGAGGCAAGCUCGCGAGAGUAAGCAAAUCUCAAAAAGCCAUCCUCAGUUCGGAUUGGAGUCUGCAACUCGACCCCAUGAAGUCGGAAUCGCUAGUAAUCGCGGAUCAGCAUGCCGCGGUGAAUACGUUCCCGGGGCUU
rnacentral:rRNA from 1 species